rnacentral:rRNA from 1 species
GAACUUGGCCUAGUUGCUGCUGGUCCUUUGGGACAUGUGCACACACUUGGCUCUUGUUUCUAACCACCUGUGCACCUUUUGUAGACUUGGGGAGUUUGAUUAUAUUCAAGAUUGGGGUAUUGCUGCUGCUUUGCAUCAUAAAGCCAGCUCUCCCUGUGUUCCCCAGUCUAUGUCUUUACAUACUCUGUAAAAAUGUAUGAGAAUGUUAACAAGGCUUUUAUGCCUUUAACAAUAUAUACAACUUUCAACAACGGAUCUCUUGGCUCUCGCAUCGAUGAAGAACGCAGCGAAAUGCGAUAAGUAAUGUGAAUUGCAGAAUUCAGUGAAUCAUCGAAUCUUUGAACGCACCUUGCGCUCCUUGGUAUUCCGAGGAGCAUGCCUGUUUGAGUGUCAUGAAAUUCUCAACCUUUUCUUACUUUUGUAAGGAAAGGCUUGGAUGUGGAAGUCUGCAGGCCCUCCUAGUGAGGUCAGCUCUUCUCAAAUGCAUUAGCAGGACUUUUAUCAUUCACUGGUCUUGGUGUGAUAAUUAUCUACGCCAUUUCCAAGAUGUGUGGUUCAGCUUUCCAAUUGUCCCUUGGGACAACUUUCUUGACAACUUUGACCUCAAAUCAGGUAGGACUACCCGCUGAACUUAA